AUCAAUUGGAGGGCAAGUCUGGUGCCAGCAGCCCGCGGUAAUUCCAGCUCCAAUAGCGUAUAUUAAAGUUGUUGCAGUUAAAAAGCUCGUAGUUGGAUUUCUGUUUUGAGCGUCCGGCCCGCUCUUUGAGUGUGUUGCUAGGAUGUUUGAGACAUUUUUUGUGAGGAUGUCCUUCUGCCAUUAAGUUGGUGGUUGGAUAGACUUGCAUCGUUUACUGUGAAAAAAUUAGAGUGUUUAAAGCAGGCGUUUGCUCAUUGAAUACAUUAGCAUGGAAUAAUAAGAUACGACCUUGGUGGUCUAUUUUGUUGGUUUGCACACCAGGGUAAUGAUUAAUAGGGACAGUUGGGGGUAUUCAUAUUCCAGCGUCAGAGGUGAAAUUCUUGGAUCGCUGGAAGAUGAGCUUAGGCGAAAGCAUUUACCAAGGAUGUUUUCAUUAAUCAAGAACGAAAGUUAGGGGAUCGAAGAUGAUUAGAUACCAUCGUAGUCUUAACCAUAAACUAUGCCGAC
rnacentral:rRNA from 1 species